rnacentral:rRNA from 1 species
CAGUAGCCGCGGUAAUGCGAAGGGUGCAAGCGUUACUCGGAAUUACUGGGCGUAAAGCGUGCGUAGGUGGUGGUUUAAGUCCGUUGUGAAAGCCCUGGGCUCAACCUGGGAAUUGCAGUGGAUACUGGGUCACUAGAGUGUGGUAGAGGAUAGUGGAAUUUCCGGUGUAGCAGUGAAAUGCGUAGAGAUCGGAAGGAACAUCUGUGGCGAAGGCGACUAUCUGGGCCAACACUGACACUGAGGCACGAAAGCGUGGGGAGCAAACAGGAUUAGAUACCCCGGUAGUCCCUGUCUCUUAUAC